UACGUAGGGGGCAAGCGUUGUCCGGAUUUAUUGGGCGUAAAGAGCUCGUAGGCGGCUUGUCACGUCGGAUGUGAAAGCCCGGGGCUUAACCCCGGGUCUGCAUUCGAUACGGGCUAGCUAGAGUGUGGUAGGGGAGAUCGGAAUUCCUGGUGUAGCGGUGAAAUGCGCAGAUAUCAGGAGGAACACCGGUGGCGAAGGCGGAUCUCUGGGCCAUUACUGACGCUGAGGAGCGAAAGCGUGGGGAGCGAACAGG
rnacentral:rRNA from 1 species